rnacentral:rRNA from 1 species
UUGAACGCUGGCGGCAUGCCUUACACAUGCAAGUCGAACGGUAGAGGGGUAACCCUUGAGAGUGGCGAACGGGUGAGUAAUGCAUCGGAACGUGCCCAGUCGUGGGGGAUAACGCAGCGAAAGCUGUGCUAAUACCGCAUGUGAUCUGUGGAUGAAAGCAGGGGACCGCAAGGCCUUGUGCGAUUGGAGCGGCCGAUGUCAGAUUAGCUAGUUGGUAGGGUAAAAGCCUACCAAGGCGACGAUCUGUAGCUG